rnacentral:rRNA from 1 species
GACGAACGCUGGCGGCGUGCUUAACACAUGCAAGUCGAACGAAAAGAGGGAAAGAGCUUGCUCUUUCCGGAAUUGAGUGGCAAACGGGUGAGUAACACGUAAACAACCUGCCUUCAGGAUGGGGACAACAGACGGAAACGACUGCUAAUACCGAAUAAGUUCCAAGAGCCGCAUGGCCCAUGGAAGAAAAGGUGGCCUCUACCUGUAAGCUAUCGCCUGAAGAGGGGUUUGCGUCUGAUUAGCUGGUUGGAGGGGUAACGGCCCACCAAGGCGACGAUCAGUAGCCGGUCUGAGAGGAUGAACGGCCACACUGGAACUGAGACACGGUCCAGACUCCUACGGGAGGCAGCAGUGGGGAAUCUUCCGCAAUGGGCGAAAGCCUGACGGAGCAACGCCGCGUGAGUGAUGACGGCCUUCGGGUUGUAAAACUCUGUGAUCCGGGACGAAAAGGCAGAGUGCGAAGAACAAACUGCAUUGACGGUACCG